AAAACAUUUAAUAAUCCACUUUUUCUAGCACAGGGGUAAAAAAAAAUUUAAUGAUCGAUACUCGAGAUCUCAAAUUUGAAUUCUAAUUGAUUCAUAUUUUCAGCUAAGUCACGACUAUUUAAUAAUCCACUUUUUUUAGCACAAGGGGUAAAAAAAUAUUUAAUAAUCGAUACUCGAGAUCCCAAAUUUGAAUUCUAAUUGAUUCAUAUUUUCAGCUAAGUCACGACUACUUUAUCUUGUUAUAUAUAUAUAUAUAUAUAUAUAUAUUUAAAAUACUAAAAAUUUACGCACUCAUUUUUUUCACUCUAUGUUAUUUUAAUACUAAAAUCCAAAAA
rnacentral:lncRNA from 1 species